CGCUAAAAAGCUAGCCCACAAACCAGGAAUAAAAAACCACUAUAAGUUUUUUCCGAAAUAAUUUAAAACAAAUUAAUAAACCAUUUUUCCCUCCUAGUACGGGCGACGGAAAAGAGACCAAGCGAGCAAUAGAAAUAGUACCGUAAGGGAAAGCUGAAAAAGAAAUGAAAUUAAACCAUUUAAGCUUUAAAAAGCAGAGAUUCAAACUCGUACCUUUUGCAUCAUGAAUUAGCCAGUCCCCCCAAGCAAAGAGCCCUUUAGUUUGGCACCCCGAAACUGGAGCGAGCUACUUCGAGGCAGUCUAUUAUAGGACGAACCCGUCUCUGUUGCAAAAGAGUGGGAAGAACUUUGAGUAGAGGUGAUAAACCUAACGAGCCCAGUAAUAGCUGGUUCCCUAGGAAAUGGAUUGAAGUUCAGCCCCCUAAAUCAUUAUGCCACCCUAGAAUAACUAGAUCUGGACCUUAAUAAAUUAGGGGAGUUAAUCAAAGGAGGUACAGCUCCUUUGAAAAAGACACAACUUUAUUUAGAAGGGUAAGGAUCAUGCUAAUUAAGGCAAGUGCCUGAGUGGGCCUAAAAGCAGCCACCUCAAGAGAAAGCGUUAAAGCUCAAGCACACUUUUAAGCCCCAUAUUAUGAUAAUAUUUCCAACCCCCCUAACCCCACUAGGGCCUCUCAUGCAACCAUGAGAGAGGUCAUGCUAAUAUGAGUAACAAGGAGGUAAGAGACCUCCUCCUGGCACGCGUGUACAUCGGAACGGCCAAACCACCGACUAUUAAACGGCCCCAACAAUUAGAGGGAAAUGAAUAAUAAACUAUACACUAGAAAUGCAUUCAAAUUACGCCGUUACCCCUACACCGGAGUGCUUGAAGGGAAAGACUGAAAGAAAAAGAAGGAACUCGGCAAACGGAAGCCCCGCCUGUUUACCAAAAACAUCGCCUCUUGCACAAUAAGAAUAAGAGGUCCCGCCUGCCCUGUGACAUCUGUUUAACGGCCGCGGUAUUUUGACCGUGCAAAGGUAGCGCAAUCACUUGUCUUUUAAAUGAAGACCUGUAUGAAUGGCACAACGAGGGCUUAACUGUCUCCUUUUUCCGGUCAAUGAAAUUGAUCUUCCCGUGCAGAAGCGGGAAUAACAACAUAAGACGAGAAGACCCUGUGGAGCUUUAGACAAUAAGCAGAGCAAGCUGAAUGCUUUUAAAUUAAAAAAAUUAAACUUGCGCACCCUGCUUAAAUGUCUUUGGUUGGGGCGACCGCGGGGAAUACAAAACCCCCAUGUGGAACGAGGGAACAUCACUCUAAAGCUAAGAACCCCUAUUCUAAGCAACAGAACUUCUGACCAAAACGAUCCGGCUAAAGCCGAUCAACGGACCGAGUUACCCCAGGGAUAACAGCGCAAUCCCCUUUAAGAGCCCAUAUCGACAAGGGGGUUUACGACCUCGAUGUUGGAUCAGGACACCCUAAUGGUGUAGCCGCUAUUAAGGGUUCGUUUGUUCAACGAUUAAAGUCCUACGUGAUCUGAGUUCAGACCGGAGCAAUCCAGGUCAGUUUCUAUCUAUGGAAUGAUCUUUUCUAGUACGAAAGGACCGAAAAGGAGAGGCCUAUGCUAUAAGCAUGCCUCGCCCCCACCUAGUGAAGACAACUUAAGUAGGCUAGAGGGCCUGUCCUCUCUAGCCUAAAAAAACGGCGU
rnacentral:rRNA from 1 species